GAAUUAUCCGUCAAUAACUGGUAGCCACACCUCUUGACCUUGUGUACAAAGCUUUGUGUAUAAACACGACGCCAUCAUUUGCGCUGCACGAUAGAAGCCGUUAACAGUUUCUACCUAAAAAAGCGACUGUAACCAGACUCCCGCUGAUAGAAGAUGGCCAAGACAAAACAAACAAAAAAGCCGCAGCGAAAAAAGCUGCCAAGCCGAAGGCAGCGAAGCCAAAACCCAAAGCAAAGGCAAAGAAGCCCGCAAAGAGAUUGCAGAAAAAGAAGGCGGCAAAGGGAAAGGGAAAGAAGAAGUAAUUUAUUUUUAAAAGGACUUUUCCAACUCGCAUACAGGAGGUUUAGAUGAGAUCAGUUGUUGAGAACAUUUCCUAAUAAACAACAAUACAUUAUAGCAAAUCAACAUUCCAAUGCAACACUGUCUGUACUGGAUAACAACACAAAAAUGAAGAGUGGAGUCACCAAGGAAGCAGUUACUAGGAAACAGUGAUGACUGAAUUAAAUAAACAUUUAUAAUUAAUCAAGGAGCAAAGAUUAUUAUUUUCUGUUUAUUAUCAACUUGAAAGGUCUCCUCUAUGCCUACUGUCUAGGGAAGUUAUUUAAAUUUUGUUGUUAGUAAGUUUGCUUGUUUUGUUGUAGUUUCGCAUGUACACAUCCAUUCCAUUUCUGUUUAUUUUAAGAACAGAUCAAUAUUUUUCAGUCUUAUAUUAUUAAUACAAUUUUGUCUGUACAUUAGGCUACUACAUUUUCCUUACAGUUUUGCUUUUUUUAGAUGAAUUGAAAAAAAAUGAUUACCUCACUGGAAACAAAAAUUAUAAAUAUACACAUAUUGCUCAUCUUAUUUCAAGAUUGAAUUAUUGCUAGAAUUAGAAUUGCUGGCUAUCCAUUCAUUCAAUGUAUCAACAAGCUGAUGACGAAUGAACUCGAACUUCAAGAAUACAAUAUAGAUUAUAUAUGUUUCAAUUGUACUGAUAGAGAAAAAAAACACAGCUGUUUAUAUUAUGCAAUGAAAUAUACUCAGUGUUUCGGAUGGAAAGUAGCCUAAUCAAGUUUUUAUACUGAAUAGAUUAAAUAAAAUCCUCAGAAAAGAUCAAA